UACGUAGGGUGCGAGCGUUAAUCGGAAUUACUGGGCGUAAAGCGUGCGCAGGCGGUUCGCUAAGACCGAUGUGAAAUCCCCGGGCUUAACCUGGGAACUGCAUUGGUGACUGGCGGGCUAGAGUGUGGCAGAGGGGGUAGAAUUCCACGUGUAGCAGUGAAAUGCGUAGAGAUGUGGAGGAAUACCGAUGGCGAAGGCAGCCCCCUGGGCUAACACUGACGCUCAUGCACGAAAGCGUGGGGAGCAAACAGG
rnacentral:rRNA from 1 species